GUGAGGAAUAUUGGUCAAUGGGCGAGAGCCUGAACCAGCCAAGUAGCGUGAAGGAUGAAGGCUCUAUGGGUCGUAAACUUCUUUUAUAUGGGAAUAAAGUUUUCCACGUGUGGAAUUUUGUAUGUACCAUAUGAAUAAGGAUCGGCUAACUCCGUGCCAGCAGCCGCGGUAAUACGGAGGAUCCGAGCGUUAUCCGGAUUUAUUGGGUUUAAAGGGAGCGUAGGUGGAUUGUUAAGUCAGUUGUGAAAGUUUGCGGCUCAACCGUAAAAUUGCAGUUGAAACUGGCAGUCUUGAGUACAGUAGAGGUGGGCGGAAUUCGUGGUGUAGCGGUGAAAUGCUUAGAUAUCACGAAGAACUCCGAUUGCGAAGGCAGCUCACUAGACUGUCACUGACACUGAUGCUCGAAAGUGUGGGUAUCAAACAGGAUUAGAAACCCGUGUAGUCC
rnacentral:rRNA from 1 species